rnacentral:rRNA from 1 species
GUGCCUAAUACAUGCAAGUCGAGCGAGGUCGUCUUCGGACCCUAGCGGCGGACGGGUGAGUAACACGUAGGCAACCUGCCUCUCAGACUGGGAUAACAUAGGGAAACUUAUGCUAAUACCGGAUAGGUUUUUGGAUCGCAUGAUCCGAAAAGAAAAGAUGGCUUCGGCUAUCACUGGGAGAUGGGCCUGCGGCGCAUUAGCUAGUUGGUGGGGUAACGGCCUACCAAGGCGACGAUGCGUAGCCGACCUGAGAGGGUGACCGGCCACACUGGGACUGAGACACGGACCAG